UUUCCGUAGGUGAACCUGCGGAAGGAUCAUUACUGUGGGGGCCCCCCGGGGCCUCUGCCGAGAUAGCACCCCUUGUCUUUUCGAGCACCAACCGUUUCCUCGGCGGGCACGCCCGCCAACGGGGACCAACCAAAAACCUCAACCGCAGUAUCAGAAGUCGAAAACGUACCAAAACAAAAAAUCAAAACUUUCAACAACGGAUCUCUUGGUUCUGGCAUCGAUGAAGAACGCAGCGAAAUGCGAUAAGUAGUGUGAAUUGCAGAAUUCAGUGAAUCAUCGAAUCUUUGAACGCACAUUGCGCCCUUUGGUAUUCCUUAGGGCAUGCCUGUUCGAGCGUCAUAAAACCCCCUCAAGCGCAGCUUGUUGUUGGGCGUUUGUCCCGCCCCCGGCCGGACUCGCCCCGAAUCCAUUGGCGGCCCCCGCAUUGGGCUAUCGAGCGCAGCAGAAUUGCGCCUCGGGCACAGCGCGCGGGCGACCACUGAGCAACCCCCAUCACUUUGACCUCGGAUCACGGUAGGGAUACCCGCUGAACUUAA
rnacentral:rRNA from 1 species